CACCACCCAUCACACUAUGGGAGCUGGCCAUGCCCAAAGUUGUUACCUUAACUGCAAUGAGGAUGAUGUCGAAGGCAAGGCUAGCGACUAGAGUGAAGUCAUAACAAGGUAGUUGUAUUGGAAGUAGAGGUG
rfam:Gossypium raimondii Chr02_contig_419, whole genome shotgun sequence.